UGGCAGAUACCAAUGCAAUUAUUCAUAUAUUCACUUUUAAGGAUAUAGUUGGAAACUGUUUUUUAUUCAGCAUUCCGACCAUCAGAAAAGAUUCCUUUCAAUGCUGUGUUUUUCCUAACAUUUGUAAAGUUUGCAGCAUUAACUAGUGCGCUAAUGGGAAGAAAAUAAGCCUGAAUUUAUCUCUAUCUGCAGCAUAUAGCACAAAAAUGGGUGUUGCUGCUGCAAGUAGCCCAUAUGAUGGCAGUUCAUAAAUUAAGUUGAUCCAAGGUCUUUCUGUGCAUAUGUCAACAUAGGCUAGAAAUGUUUCAGUUUGAGGUUCUUUCAUAAUAGCUAUUCAUGGUAAAGUUAAAAAUGAAAGUAUGGAUGAUCACAAUCACUAGUGGGAAUGUUAUAUUUUUCUAUAGCUGGCACAGAGACAUUAAGACUUCCAUUUAGCUUUCUUGCAAUUUAUUUGUAUAAUCUCACAGCAAUUAAUCUGUAGACUUAUCAUAGAUACAGAUCUUUUCACAAAGAACAGAUUCAGCAAUCAAUUACUGGAGUCAUAAUCUCAUUGUCAUCCCAUAUAAUUGUGGAUCAAUUCUAGUUAAAUUUUGUUCUUUUCAUGAUUUUCCUAAGUUAUGUUUACAAAUAAGGUUGUCUAAGGAAUAUCAAUUAUUAAUAUCUGGCAGACUUCAGAGAGAAGAUGUAGUAUGGUCUAAUAAAGCAAGCAAUGGACAGGACCUUGGAAAAUCCAAACUCUCAUCUGGUCUGUACUAUACCAACAAGCUGCCUAUUGGGCAAGCCUUGUGUUCUUCCUGAACCUCAGUUGCCUCAUCAGUAAAAUGUUCAGUUUGUUCUAAAUCAUCACUUGUUUGUUUGUUUGUUUCUUACAUUAUGAUCCUUCAUGAUAUAUCUUUUUCCUCUUAUUGAACACUACAAAACGAAACUGAACAAAUGAAAACUGAGUAUAGAGAAGAUAGUUUAUCAAAAUAAGGGAAAACGAGGCAAGGCAGAAGAGAUAAAUUUGGAAGAAUAACACAUGUCCUGUUUUCACUAGUUCAUUUAAACUGCCUUUUUUUUUUCAUUGUAAUGGGAAAAUAGUGGAUUUUUCUACACUGAAUCACCAUGAAAAUGUUUCCUUUUAGUUGCAAUAUUUAUUUAUAUUUUCUACAUGAAUUUUGUACUUGUCAGUUUUUCUCUUACCAUGAAUAUAUUAUAAGAUAGUAUAGUGACAUAAUUUGAAUUAGCUGCAAGGUAAAAUUACAUUCCUGGCUUUCAUUCUCAUCUUUUUAAAAUUGCUGCAUAUUUUCUAUGUACAUGCCACUGUGCUAGGCGUUAUUAGGAUUUGUGAAAACCUUCAAAAAGGGAGGUGGUCCAAGCCUAUGAGAAGUUCAUAUUUUUAUAAUUUUUUAAGUUUAAUGAAACUUUAAAUUUUCACUUGAGUUAAUAUAGUUUAACUUGCAUAAUGUGUCAUAACCUUGCUAUGAGAAGUUUAAUUCUCAUAUUUGUGUUUUAAAAUGUAUAAUCUGUCAACACAAGUUUUCAAUUCUAGAUGACUUGAAAAAAGUUAUGUGCAGUACCUAAAAAGAGACCUGAAUUAUGGCAUUCAUAGGUUCUAUGUAUCUGUCUCAAAUUCUUUUAAAUAAGCCCUCAAACUAGGUAUAGUUAUAUGUUUGCCAAUUACUAAGCCUGAGAAAUUUUCUGAUAAGUAUUCUAAAGUAUCAAAAUAAGACCUUCCCUGAGAAUUCAAGUUAUAUAAAAGUUCAGUAUUGUUUUUCUGUUAUUUAGUUUUAUUUUUACUAACAUUCCAAAAGGAUUAUCCAAGUUUGAAGCUGAAACCUUUCAAUGAAUCGAGUUUUUUUUUUUUUUUUGGUUUACUUUUUUUUUUAACUAGAUUUGUGAUUUCAUCUAUACAGAAUGUUCCCCAUAUGAAAACUGUCGCCAUAGAUGUAGAUUGGCAACUUGUCUUUAAUUUAUAAUCUUAGAUUGCCCGUGACUCUGAGAGGGAACUUGCCCAUAGCCACAUAGUUGAUAUUUUGUCAGAGGUAAGACCUGAAAUCAUGUCUUCUUGACCAUAGACUUCUCAGUUGUUUUUGUAUUAAUAAAAGCAGAUAUGGGUCUAAAUGUUCUUAAUUUUCUCCACAAACAGGAAAAAAAAAAUUGUUGUAAAUUUGCCUUUCAGCUUUGUGCCUCAGCAACAAAACUAUAGUAGCUUGUAUAUUUGUAUAUGCUGUAGCUUAAAUGAUAUCUUCCUAAAUCUAAAGAUCAAAUGGUGUAAGGAUCCUAGUCUUAGAGGCAAUUGACUUAUAUUUCUGAAGGACUUUCAAUAAGCCAGUCUCUGGGCCUUAUGAAAAAUGGAGAUAAUCUGCUACCCAAGUAAUUGUGAAGAAAAUACUUUGUAGCUAUAAAGUACUACAUAAAUGUGAUCCAUUUUUAUUUUCUGGUAUUUUGUGCCUUUCCUAAGUGAAAAAAUGUUUUGAAACCUUUAUGUGAUGUGUAAUUGUAAUGACGAAGUAAUCCUUAUUGUAGAUGUGGUAGUUUUCUUUGCUCAGGAUUAUGUUUCAUAACACCAAAUGUGGUAUGCAUAUAUAUCACCCAUUUCUGAGUCUCAGCUUCCCCUCACCCUUGGACUAAGUUGACCAACCCAAUGUGUUUCUAACAUGCCCCAUGAAAGGAUACCAUUUUUGUUUACUUUAAAACUUAGAAUGUAGUUUCCCUCAGAUGAACACCAUCAUGUGCAGCAAUCAUCAGGGGAGAGUGCACUCCAUAUGCAUGCACACACCUUUCCAUUUAAGAGAGAGAGCUUGAUGAGAGCCUGUCAAUGUUUCUCCUUAAUCAGCAGGAAGGGGUCAUUUUUGAGUGACAUGAGGCACUUCUUCCCCCAGGCACUCUUCCACACCUCCUGCUGACAUCUAGAGAGCAAGACUUAGAAUGAUAAUUUGUUUUUAUAACGAAUAUGGCUUGAAUUAGAGGGUCACUGAUGACAUUGUUGGAGUUAGGUAGAUAGUAGGAACCAGACAACUUCAAGAUUGGUGACAUGGAGUACUGAACUGUUCCUGAAAACCAAAUUGCAAGAAAUGCCAAAUUAGAUUCUAAAAGUUAUGAUGGCAGAAUAUUCUUUGAUGUUUAAUUAAGCCUUAAAAUAACUUUUUCAUAUAUGAAAUACAGUAGGUAACAAAUUAGUUAGAAAGGGGUUUGGGGUGUUAUUUUGUGUGGUUUUUGAAGUACAGCAUACCCCUUAUAUGGAAGACAUUUUUUAUAUGGCAGUAGGAUUCUGGUAAGAGAAUUUGGUAAAUUUUAUACUUCAUUUGAUCCUAUAUCAUUUAAUAAUUGCAUGCUGUAUUCAUCAGUAAAGCUAGGAAGCCACACAUUUUAUAUUGAGAACCCUAUAACCUCUGGGUGAGUAUGUACUAAGGUGAAUUUAAGCAUAUCUUCAAUGUCCUUUUCCAGAUACAUUAAUAAAGUCAUUGUCAUCUUUAUCUUUCAAGAACUCUUAGGUUCUAGGGAAUCAGACACUUAUUAUAUACCUAAAUAUGCACACACACACACACAUACACACACCCUUUAAGUCCUGGUAAAUAACAUCUGAAGGUUGAAAGGUUGAAAAUUCACCCUAGCUACUGAUUUAUUUCUUAAUGUUUUAGCCUUUAUAUUCUUUCUAGUUGAUGAAAGAUCCAAGCACAAAUAUGGUCAGGAAAGUUUGAAUACUUAAGAUAAUUUGUUGAAGG
ensembl:lncRNA